UCCCUGCGCUUAACCUCCUUGUUGAUGGGCUUCACAACAGACUGGACCUCGUCAGAGUUGAUGAGGCGGCCAAGGUCAGCGUUGGUCAUCUUAGGCCUGGGGAGGACGAAGCCCUUCUUCUUGGAGGAAGACGCCUCAAAGGAGCCGUACACCUCGUCCAGCUUCUUGAAGGCAGACUCGGUCCAGAUCACAAACCGGCCAAGGUGGCCACCAGGGGCAAGGUCGAGCAGGUUGAGGCGCUCGACGUUGGCAACAUCCACACCUGGGAGGUUGCGGAAGGCCUUGACGAUCUUGGAGCCCUCGGUGCCG
rnacentral:lncRNA from 1 species